rnacentral:rRNA from 1 species
UGCAUAUCAAUAAGCGGAGGAAAAGAAACCAACAGGGAUUGCCUUAGUAGCGGCGAGUGAACAGGCAAAAGCUCAGAUUUGAAAGCCUUUCGGGGCAUUGUAUUCUGAAGUCAGUUUCCUGAGAAACGAUACUUAAGUCUUCUGGAAAGGAGCGCCAAGGAGGGUGAUAGCCCCGUGAUGUAUCAUUCUCAUUGUAGGAUUCUGACGUGGAGUCGAGUUGUUUGGGAAUGCAGCUCUAAAGGGUGGUAUGCUCCAUCUAAAGCUAAAUAUCUGUGAGAGACCGAUAGCGAACAAGUACUGUGAAGGAAAGAUGAAAAGAACUUUGAAAAGAGAGUGAAAUAGUACGUGAAAUUGUUGAAAUGGAAGGGUAGGCCGCUAACCAUGUAGAGCCGUGUUCGGGGGGAGGAUAAAAGCUGAGGAAUGUGGCUCUUCGGAGUGUUAUAGCCUCAGUCAAUACUCCCAUCUGGGCGCGAGGAUCUCAGGCUCUACUAAAUGGUGGUCUACCACCCGUCUUGAAACACGGACCA